rnacentral:rRNA from 1 species
UACGGAGGGGCUAGCGUUGUUCGGAAUUACUGGGCGUAAAGCGCACGUAGGCGGAUACUUAAGUCAGGGGUGAAAUCCCGGGCUCAACCCCGGAACUGCCUUUGAUACUGGGUAUCUCGAGUCCGGAAGAGGUGAGUGGAAUUCCGAGUGUAGAGGUGAAAUUCGUAGAUAUUCGGAGGAACACCAGUGGCGAAGGCGGACUCACUGGUCCGGUACUGACGCUGAGGUGCGAAAGCGUGGGAGCAACAGG